UUGUCUCGUGGUGCCACAGGGAGUCACAAUUGUCUGCACACUUCUACCCCAGCCUGGGAGAAGUGUCCCACCAGCUUUUCCUGGCCGGAAUGUGCCGGGAGAGGUGACGCAGCUGGCAAAGGUCAGAUUUGCUGUGGAGGUGUCGGGGAUGUAUAAGCCCCAGCUUUGCUGAGCCGGGCUCUUCCCAGGGCCAUUGUCUCCUUGGUAAGAGGUGGCAUCUGUGUCCUUUGCAGAGCCCAGGCCUCAGAGCAGGAUUUGACCAGGCUGAGUUUUCCAGGUGAAGAAGAGAAAUAAGGUGGUGUGGGAAGGACGAGAAGCUUUGCAGAGCAGGUAACUGGCUCCUGGCCUCCAGAAUCUCAAACUGAGCAGCAAGCCCCGCUUCUCGCUAAGCUCCAUGUUGCUAAGUCAGCCCUUUGGCACAAUGAUCACUGGAAACAGGAAAAUUAACUGAAGAAUAAAUUACUGUUUGGAGUACAACCCUUUAUUUAUUGUCUGGAAGCUGCUGUGAAGUCAAAGUCAAAAAUUAAUGCAGAGUUCCCAAGGUCCUGGGAAAGGUGCAAGUCAUUGACAUGAAUGUUGUUGCUGCUCAACAGAUUUUGCUGCUCCAGGUGAAGCCAACAGCAGCAGGAUCAGACCUAUUAUUUUUGCUUUUUCUCCAGUGUGUUUGGACACGCACAGGCCAAGCUCUGUCACGUGUGGCCUCUGAGGAACCGUGAACCCAACACCGUGGGCUGGGCUGAAGGACUUGGCUAAUGGAGAAUUUACGGCCCCUAUGAACACGGCACACUGCUGGGCAGGGAAGUGUUGCUUGGACCCAGAAUGACACAUGAUCAAAAGCAGAACAGAUUGGGAAAUCUGAAAAUUUGGAGGACCGAGGGAAUAUGUUCUCAGCAGAGCUUCUCACAGAUUCUUCCACCACUGUACCAGUUUAUUAGAGUCCUGAAAAAAAAACUAGUUCCUGCCAGCCCGGGUGACUCCUAUCACAGCUAUGACUGGUUUAUUCCAUUUGCAAGUCAAAGCAAGUUUCUUCUCUCUCUUGAAGACUUCCUGGGCACAACAAAGCCACAACCACAGGAUGAUAUGAGCUGUCAUUGGAGGGGAGUUUCUACUUUGUUUUAUAACCCUGCUCAUAUUAAGGUAAUGUCAGGAAAGAACUGAGGACAAGUGGGAGAGUUUCAGCUGCCUUUUGUGUAACAUUGUUUUGAAACAAUUGUAACACAGGAAUUUAAUAAUAAAAACAAUAAUUAAGGAUGUUA